CCCCACACCCCAUCCCCCCAGGGGCUGAUGAUCACACUGGUGCUGAUUUGGACCCCCUCAGCAAGAGGCACAGCAGGACCCAGGCAGAGUCCUCCCACCCCCAGCUGCACAGCGUGGACCCCCCCGAACUUCCCAGACACUCAAGCCCUGAGCACUGGAAAUCUUGGAGCUGAUUCAGAGCAAUAAACCCCCACUGUGCCUGAAGGCCCCAAACUUGAAAUCCUUCCACGGACUGUGACUCUGCAAAGUUACACAUAAAUAUUUAACCUGUAAAUAGUCGCAGGGAGCAUGACGGGCACCGAAAGCACGGUGAGGGCUCUGCUGGACCUGCACUUUCAGAGUCUCCUUUGCCUCCUUUCACCCUCAUCAAUCCUCCAGCAACAAAACUGGCUGCUGGGAGAGAAGGGUUUUUAGAAAUGAGCAGUCAUAAAUCCAGCCCUCCCUCCCCCCUUGCCUCUCCCUGAAGUUUCACAUGUAACUUAACUCCAGCGACCGAUGAACGUUCGUGAACAAGGAGCCAGGAGCAGCCUCAAGACUCCUCAGCCUGAGGCUCACGGUGGUUUGGCCAUUCCCCCUGACAGCCCAUGGGACUCCAACCUACCCCACAAACAUCCCCACCAAGGAGAAAGGACCAAGGGAAGCUUCAGCUGCCUUUGCAGAUCCCUCCUGAUGUUCAUCUCAACCCAUCCUGUCCAUCAGCUCCAUCUCUGCAGGUGACAACCCUCCCCAGAGCUGAGCAGCUGCUUGGGGACAACCCCUGGGGACAUUCAUUUCAUCUUAGCACUUGCUUCCACCUGUUCCAGCUCCUUAGAGCUCGGGCAGCAAAACCAGCUGAUUUUAAUAUAAAAUGGGUUUCUAAGGGUAGGCUUAUCAGAGACUGAUAUAAUUAAAAAUGUAACAUCUCUGAAGCUGUGAGUCCAUAAAACACGAGGUCAGUUAAGAUGCAGGGCCUCAAGAGUUGCCUGCAAAUUCAGCUUGGAGAGAUUUGGUUAACUGCAGGAAAAAAAUAAACCCAAUACCAGAUGGGUGCUUUUCAUUAAACUGCUUUUUCCAUUCCCAUGCAUUUUGCUUUUGCCAGCUGCUAUGGGCUAAGAAAAAGCCUUCCUAAUCAUAAAUGUUAAUAUACAGCAUAAGUACAAGACUUUUCCCCCCCUCUUGUCUUUUGGUAUUGCUCUUUAGGGUUCAUAUUCUUCAAGCCCUAUUCUGCAGUCACAAAUUCUAGGUUUUUGGGGUUUUUUUUUUUUUGGUGUUUUUUUUCCCCCCACACUGUGAAGAAACACAUCUGUGAUCCCUAAGGUUCUCCCUUUAGGAAUUAAUUGCUAUCAAAGCCUCACACCACUACAGAACAACUAUGAUAAAGCUGUCAGAGUUAUUAGAAGAGCUCGGCCCACGUAAUAAUUAUUUUUACUAAAUAUUAAAUACUCAGCCCUGUGCAUUUUAAACGUAGGGUUAUGGAUGUUUUCAGUCAGCAGAAGCACUUUUAAUCUUUUCAUGAGGAAAAAGGCAAAACCCUCUGCUAGAGACAAUCAGCCACCCCAGCUCAGCAGUGAUGAUCUGGGAAUACACACCUGAGGCUGCUGCUGAUGUUUUCCCUUCCCCCAGAGCCAAGGGACGUGGCAUGAAGUUUAUUCCAGGCCAAAAGCACCAGACAGAGUCCAAACCCUUUGUAAGAAGGGAGAUCUUUGCCCCUGGACUUCCCCAAAGUGCUUCACCUUCACGCUGUGUGAGAAGACACGGACCGAGGCAGACGACUGAGGAGCUCCAGUUGCAAAUAAAAAAUCUUUAUUGCAUCUUAGAAGCAAGUCUUAAGAAAAAGGAAAAGAAAAAUUAAAAAGGAAAAGGAAAAAAAAAAAAAAAAAAAAAGAAAAAAAAAAAAAAGGAAAAGAGAAAAGAUUUUUCCAUGCACUGAAUCCAUCCAAGUACCAACAUCCUUGGGGCUGUCACCAAAAAAACCGAUGAGCAUUACAAGACAUCGACUCUACACGAGCUGCAGUUCAUGCUCCAUACACGUGUAAACAAUGGUUGUUUCUUCUACUGGAAGAGCAAUUACUCUGUAAGAUCCCUUCAAACAUGGCAACCACCUAAGCAUCAGUUUUAAUCCAUUCCUUCCCUGCUCUCCACUUCCCAAAGAGCAGAAGUGGGACUGGGAGCAAUGAGACGAAACGGUGCUGGAGGAGUCGAUAGAAAAAUAUAUUGUUGGCUGGGUUUUAUUUUCUGUUUCUGCUGAGUGAGAUAUUUACAGGUAGGAAGGUCCAACAGAUCAUCUACUUCAACAA